GAGACAGCAGUAGCCGCGGGAAAACGGAGGGUGCAAGCGUUAAUCGGAAUUACUGGGCGUAAAGCGCACGCAGGCGGUCUGACAAGUCAGAUGUGAAAUCCCCGGGCUUAACCUGGGAACUGCAUUUGAAACUGUCAGGCUGGAGUCUUGUAGAGGGGGGUGGAAUUCCAGGUGUAGCGGUGAAAUGCGUAGAGAUCUGGAGGAAUACCGGUGGCGAAGGCGGCCCCCUGGACAAAGACUGACGCUUAGGUGCGAAAGCGUGGGGAGCAAACAGGAUUAGAUACCCGGGUAGUCCCUGUCUCUUAUAA
rnacentral:rRNA from 1 species